rnacentral:rRNA from 1 species
GUGACUGCGUACCUUUUGUAUAAUGGGUCAGCGACUUAUAUUCUGUAGCAAGGUUAACCGAAUAGGGGAGCCGAAGGGAAACCGAGUCUUAACUGGGCGUUAAGUUGCAGGGUAUAGACCCGAAACCCGGUGAUCUAGCCAUGGGCAGGUUGAAGGUUGGGUAACACUAACUGGAGGACCGAACCGACUAAUGUUGAAAAAUUAGCGGAUGACUUGUGGCUGGGGGUGAAAGGCCAAUCAAACCGGGAGAUAGCUGGUUCUCCCCGAAAGCUAUUUAGGUAGCGCCUCGUGAAUUCAUCUCCGGGGGUAGAGCACUGUUUCGGCAAGGGGGUCAUCCCGACUUACCAACCCGAUGCAAACUGCGAAUACCGGAGAAUGUUAUCACGGGAGACACACGGCGGGUGCUAACGUCCGUCGUGAAGAGGGAAACAACCCAGACCGCCAGCUAAGGUCCCAAAGUCAUGGUUAAGUGGGAAACGAUGUGGGAAGGCCCAGACAGCCAGGAUGUUGGCUUAGAAGCAGCCAUCAUUUAAAGAAAGCGUAAUAGCUCACUGGUCGAGUCGGCCUGCGCGGAAGAUGUAACGGGGCUAAACCAUGCACCGAAGCUGCGGCAGCGACGCUUAUGCGUUGUUGGGUAGGGGAGCGUUCUGUAAGCCUGUGAAGGUGUGCUGUGAGGCAUGCUGGAGGUAUCAGAAGUGCGAAUGCUGACAUAAGUAACGAUAAAGCGGGUGAAAAGCCCGCUCGCCGGAAGACCAAGGGUUCCUGUCCAACGUUAAUCGGGGCAGGGUGAGUCGACCCCUAAGGCGAGGCCGAAAGGCGUAGUCGAUGGGAAACAGGUUAAUAUUCCUGUACUUGGUGUUACUGCGAAGGGGGGACGGAGAAGGCUAUGUUGGCCGGGCGACGGUUGUCCCGGUUUAAGCGUGUAGGCUGGUUUUCCAGGCAAAUCCGGAAAAUCAAGGCUGAGGCGUGAUGACGAGGCACUACGGUGCUGAAGCAACAAAUGCCCUGCUUCCAGGAAAAGCCUCUAAGCAUCAGGUAACAUCAAAUCGUACCCCAAACCGACACAGGUGGUCAGGUAGAGAAUACCAAGGCGCUUGAGAGAACUCGGGUGAAGGAACUAGGCAAAAUGGUGCCGUAACUUCGGGAGAAGGCACGCUGAUAUGUAGGUGAAGUCCCUCGCGGAUGGAGCUGAAAUCAGUCGAAGAUACCAGCUGGCUGCAACUGUUUAUUAAAAACACAGCACUGUGCAAACACGAAAGUGGACGUAUACGGUGUGACGCCUGCCCGGUGCCGGAAGGUUAAUUGAUGGGGUCAGCGCAAGCGAAGCUCUUGAUCGAAGCCCCGGUAAACGGCGGCCGUAACUAUAACGGUCCUAAGGUAGCGAAAUUCCUUGUCGGGUAAGUUCCGACCUGCACGAAUGGCGUAAUGAUGGCCAGGCUGUCUCCACCCGAGACUCAGUGAAAUUGAACUCGCUGUGAAGAUGCAGUGUACCCGCGGCAAGACGGAAAGACCCCGUGAACCUUUACUAUAGCUUGACACUGAACAUUGAGCCUUGAUGUGUAGGAUAGGUGGGAGGCUUUGAAGUGUGGACGCCAGUCUGCAUGGAGCCGACCUUGAAAUACCACCCUUUAAUGUUUGAUGUUCUAACGUUGACCCGUAAUCCGGGUUGCGGACAGUGUCUGGUGGGUAGUUUGACUGGGGCGGUCUCCUCCUAAAGAGUAACGGAGGAGCACGAAGGUUGGCUAAUCCUGGUCGGACAUCAGGAGGUUAGUGCAAUGGCAUAAGCCAGCUUGACUGCGAGCGUGACGGCGCGAGCAGGUGCGAAAGCAGGUCAUAGUGAUCCGGUGGUUCUGAAUGGAAGGGCCAUCGCUCAACGGAUAAAAGGUACUCCGGGGAUAACAGGCUGAUACCGCCCAAGAGUUCAUAUCGACGGCGGUGUUUGGCACCUCGAUGUCGGCUCAUCACAUCCUGGGGCUGAAGUAGGUCCCAAGGGUAUGGCUGUUCGCCAUUUAAAGUGGUACGCGAGCUGGGUUUAGAACGUCGUGAGACAGUUCGGUCCCUAUCUGCCGUGGGCGCUGGAGAACUGAGGGGGGCUGCUCCUAGUACGAGAGGACCGGAGUGGACGCAUCACUGGUGUUCGGGUUGUCAUGCCAAUGGCACUGCCCGGUAGCUAAAUGCGGAAGAGAUAAGUGCUGAAAGCAUCUAAGCACGAAACUUGCCCCGAGAUGAGUUCUCCCUGACCCUUUAAGGGUCCUGAAGGAACGUUGAAGACGACGACGUUGAUAGGCCGGGUGUGUAAGCGCAGCGAUGCGUUGAGCUAACCGGUACUAAUGAACCGUGAGGCUUAACCUU